GACGAACGCUGGCGGCGUGCCUAAUACAUGCAAGUUGAGCGAUGAAGCUUGGUGCUUGCCCCAAUUUGAAGAGCAGCGAACGGGUGAGUAACGCGUGGGGAAUCUGCCUUUGAGCGGGGGACAACAUUUGGAAACGAAUGCUAAUACCGCAUAACAACUUUAAACAUAAGUUUUAAGUUUGAAAGAUGCAAUUGCGUCACUCAAAGAUGAUCCCGCGUUGUAUUAGCUAGUUGGUGAGGUAAAGGCUCACCAAGGCGAUGAUACAUAGCCGACCUGAGAGGGUGAUCGGCCACAUUGGGACUGAGACACGGCCCAAACUCCUACGGGAGGCAGCAGUAGGGAAUCUUCGGCAAUGGACGAAAGUCUGACCGAGCAACGCCGCGUGAGUGAAGAAGGUUUUCGGAUCGUAAAACUCUGUUGGUAGAGAAGAACGUUGGUGAGAGUGGAAAGCUCAUCAAGUGACGGUAACUACCCAGAAAGGGACGGCUAACUACGUG
rnacentral:rRNA from 1 species